rnacentral:rRNA from 1 species
GACGAACGCUGGCGGCGUGCUUAACACAUGCAAGUCGAGCGGAAAGGCCCUUCGGGGUACUCGAGCGGCGAACGGGUGAGUAACACGUGAGUAACCUGCCCCAGACUUUGGGAUAACCCUCGGAAACGGGGGCUAAUACCGGAUACGACACAGCUUCGCAUGGGGUCUGUGUGGAAAGUUUUUCGGUUUUGGAUGGGCUCGCGGCCUAUCAGCUUGUUGGUGGGGUGAUGGCCUACCAAGGCGACGACGGGUAGGCGGCCUGGGAGGGGGACCGGCCACACUGGGACUGAGACACGGCCCAGACUCCUACGGGAGGCAGCAGUGGGGAAUAUUGCACAAUGGGCGGAAGCCUGAUGCAGCGACGCCGCGUGAGGGAUGACGGCCUUCGGGGUGUAAACCUCUUUCAGCGGGGACGAAGCGUAAGUGACGGUACCUGCAGAAGAAGCGCCGGCCAACUACGUG